rnacentral:rRNA from 1 species
AAAAAGGCGGGAACGCGAAAAGGGGAACUGAGUGCCAGCAUAUUAUGUUGGCUGUCCACCUGUAUAACCUUUAGGGGUUAGCAAGGGCCGGGCAAGACCGGUGCCAGCCGCCGCGGUAACACCGGCGGCCCGAGUGGUGGCCACUAUUAUUGGGUCUAAAGGGUCCGUAGCCGGUUUGAUCAGUCUUCCGGGAAAUCUGACAGCUCAACUGUUAGGCUUCCGGGGGAUACUGUCAGACUUGGGACCGGGAGAGGUAAGAGGUACUACAGGGGUAGGAGUGAAAUCUUGUAAUCCUUGUGGGACCACCAGUGGCGAAGGCGUCUUACCAGAACGGGUCCGACGGUGAGGGACGAAAGCUGGGGGCACGAACCGGAUUAGAUACCCGGGUAGUCCCAGCUGUAAACGAUGCUCGCUAGGUGUCUGGGACGGUGCGACCGUUUCAGGUGCCGCAGGGAAGCCGUGAAGCGAGCCAACUGGGAAGUACGGCCGCAAGGCUGAAACUUAAAGGAAUUGGCGGGGG